rnacentral:siRNA from 1 species
UAGAAUAGUACCCUGCCACGG